AGCGAACGCUGGCGGCAGGCUUAACACAUGCAAGUCGAGCGGGCGUAGCAAUACGUCAGCGGCAGACGGGUGAGUAACGCGUGGGAACGCACCUUUUUGUUCGGAACAACACAGGGAAACUUGUGCUAAUACCGGAUAAGCCCUUCCGGUGAAAGCUUUAUCGCCGAAAGAUCGGCUCUCGUCUGAUUAGCUAGUUGGUGAGGUAACGGCUCACCAAGGCGACGAUCAGUAGCUGGUCUGAGAGGAUGAUCAGCCACAUUGGGACUGCGACACGGCCCAAACUCCUACGGGAGGCAGCAGUGGGGAAUAUUGGACAAUGGGGGCAACCCUGAUCCAGCCAUGCCGCGUGAGUGAUGAAGGCCCUAGGGAUGUAAAGCUCUUUUGUGCGGGAAGAUAAUGACGGUACCGCAAGAAUAAGCCCCGGCUAACUUCGUG
rnacentral:rRNA from 1 species